GACGAACGCUAGCGGCGGGCUUAAUACAUGCAAGUUUAGGGGUUCAGCAAUGGACACCGGCGGACGGGUGCGUAACACGUAUGCAACCUGCCCUUUACUGGGAGGAUACUCCGGAGAAAUUCGGCACAACACUCCAUAUGCUCAUACUUUCGCAUGGGAGAAAUGAGGAAAGGUUACGGUAAAGGAUGGGCAUGCGUCUGAUUAGCUAGUUGGCGAGGUAAACGGCUCACCAAGGCGACGAUCAGUAGCUGGUCUGAGAGGAUGAUCAGCCACACUGGCACUGAGAUACGGGCCAGACUCCUACGGAGGCAGCAGUAGGGAAUAUUGGUCAAUGGGCGAAAGACCUGAACCAAGCCACGCCGCGUGCAGGAAGAAAGGUCCUCUGG
rnacentral:rRNA from 1 species